UGGUGAAAUAGGGAGUGGGAUAAACCACACCAAACGUAUUGGUGUGAUAGUUGGCGAUGUUCAUGCCGUUCUGGCCCGCAUUCACCGU
rnacentral:tRNA from 1 species